rnacentral:rRNA from 1 species
GACGAACGCUGGCGGCGUGCUUAACACAUGCCAGUCGAACGGAAAGGCCCUGCUUUUGUGGGGUGCUCGAGUGGCGAACGGGUGAGUAACACGUGAGUAACCUGCCCUUGACUUUGGGAUAACUUCAGGAAACUGGGGCUAAUACCGGAUAGGAGCUCCUGCUGCAUGGUGGGGGUUGGAAAGUUUCGGCGGUUGGGGAUGGACUCGCGGCUUAUCAGCUUGUUGGUGGGGUAGUGGCUUACCAAGGCUUUGACGGGUAGCCGGCCUGAGAGGGUGACCGGCAACAUUGGGACUGAGAUACGGCCCAGACUCGUACGGGAGGCAGCAGUGGGGAAUAUGGCACAAUGGGCGGAAGCCUGAUGCAGCAACGCAGCGUGCGGGAUGACGGCCUUCGGGUUGUAAACCGCUUUCGCCUGUGACGAAGCGUGAGUGACGGUAAUGGGUAAAGAAGCACCGGCUAACUACGUG